AAUGGGCGAAAGCCUGACGCAGCAACGCCGCGUGCGGGAUGACGGCCUUCGGGUUGUAAACCGCUUUCAGCAGGGACGAAAUUGACGGUACCUGCAGAAGAAGCCCCGGCCAACUACGUGCCAGCAGCCGCGGUAAUACGUAGGGGGCGAGCGUUGUCCGGAUUCAUUGGGCGUAAAGCGCUUUAAGGCGGUUCGCUAAGUCGCGUGUGAAACCUCCAGGCUCAACCUGGAGACGCCACGCGAUACUGGCGUGACUAGAGUUCGGUAGGGGAUCACGGAAUUCCUGGUGUAGCGGUGAAAUGCGCAGAUAUCAGGAGGAACACCGGUGGCGAAGGCGGUGAUCUGGGCCGACACUGACGCUGUAGAGCGAAAGCGUGGGGAGCGAACAGGAUUAGAUACCCUGGUAGUCCACGCCGUAAACGUUGGGCACUAGGUGUGGGGGAUUAUCAACGUCCUCCGUGCCGUAGCUAACGCAUUAAGUGCCCCGCCUGGGGAGUACGGCCGCAAGGCUA
rnacentral:rRNA from 1 species